GAUGAACGCUGGCGGCGUGCCUAAUACAUGCAAGUCGAGCGAACGGACGAGAAGCUUGCUUCUCUGAUGUUAGCGGCGGACGGGUGAGUAACACGUGGAUAACCUACCUAUAAGACUGGGAUAACUUCGGGAAACCGUAGCUAAUACCGGAUAAUAUUUUGAACCGCAUGGUUCAAAAGUGAAAGACGGUCUUGCUGUCACUUAUAGAUGGAUCCGCGCUGCAUUAGCUAGUUGGUAAGGUAACGGCUUACCAAGGCAACGAUGCAUAGCCGACCUGAGAGGGGGGUGGGCCCCACUGGAUGUGGACCCGGCACAGUCCCCCGGCGGGAGGGCGCAGAGGGGAAUGCUCGGCAGGGGGGGAGAUCCUUCCGGCACGCGCCGGCGUGAGAGAUAAAGGUCUCGGGAUCGUAAUCCUUGUUUUUGGGGGAAAAACAUAGGUGUAAGUAAAUGUACCCAUCGUGACGGUACCUAAUAAAAAAGCCACGGCUAACUCCGUG
rnacentral:rRNA from 1 species